UUCUGUUUAAUAUGUAAAUCAUACCUGCUGACUGUACAUUUUAUUUAAUUUGUUCUGUCUGGCUUUAAUUUGUCUUCCUUGAGGUUUUUAUUGUUUAGUGAGUACCUGCUAGCUGAUUCCUCUUUUUGGUCAUUUAGACAGGGCACUCCCCUGGAGCUAAUCGUAUUUACCUUUAGCCUUUACCUAGUUUAUAGCCUUGGUAUUACCCAGCGUUUCCUAUUAUUGGAAUUAUCCCUCUUAUUACUCAUGAAUCUAAUUACAGAUACAGUAUUUGCUGGUUUAUAGUAACUUUGUUUUUGCAAAUUUGUCUCCUUUCUGAUAAGUAAUACAAAUAGUAUUAGAAUUAAAUAUAAAUUGAGAGGCAUUCAGAAAUUGUGGCAGGGACAUGCAAAGAUCAGUAAAGGUAAAAGAUCCAUAAAGAGUGCAACUGGGAAAUCCCAGGGACAGAAAGGUUGGUGGAGUAAACGGAAAGCUUCUUUCUAAGACUAUGGUGCUCUUUUUUUGUGAGUCAGAAAAUCCCAAGGGCUCACAGACAAAUGUUAUUAAGAAUCUAAUCUAGGCCCAUUGGUGACUCACGCCUCUAAUCCCAACAGUUUGAGAGGCCAAGGUGGUAGGAUCGCUUGAAGCCAGGAGUUUCAGACCAGCCUGGGCAACAGAGUGAGACACUGUCUCUACAAAAAUAAAAAAUUAGCCAGGCACCCAGGCGCAGUAGCAUGUGCCUGUAGUUCUAGCUACUCAGAAGGCUGAGGCAGAAGGAUUGCUUGAGCAAAGGAGUUCAAGGUUACAGGGAGCUAUGAUUGCACCACUGCACUCUAGCCUGGAUGACUUAGUAAGACCUUGUUUCGAAAAACAAACAAAAAAAAUCUGCUUGGCUGAACGCGGUGGCUCAUGCCUGUAAUUCCAGCACUUUGGGAGGCCAAGGCAGGCGGAUCACAAGGUCAGGAGUUUGAGACCAGUGUGGUCUCAAACGACAUAAUGAAACCCUGCCUCUAUUAUAAAUACAGAAAAAUUAGCCGGGUGUGAUGGCAUGCGCCUGUAGUCCCAGCUAUUUGGGAGGCUGAGGCAGGAGAACCACUUGAACCCAAGAGGCGGAGGUUGUAGUGAGCUGAGACCAUGCCACUGCACUCCAGCCUGGGUGACAGAGUCAGACUCUGUCUUUAAAAAAAAAAAAAAUCUGCUAGUGCCAGCACCAUCAUUUCUAGAGGAAAACCUCUCCAGAUCAGGAAGAAGAGAUAAACUUCAUGUCACCUAGUAGCUUACAGGAAGCAGAGUUCUGGGCAUUAACAGUCUCUGUUUAGUCUCCAAAGGAAUAUAAGGAAAGGAUUCAACUAGACAGAGAAAGAUACAUGGCAAUUGGGAGAUAUGAGUAAUUGGCAUAUAAGUUUCAUUUCUUUUAUUCUUUUUCUUUUUCUUUUUUCUUUUCUUUUUUUUUGAGACAGGCAGAGUCUUGCUCUCUCUCACCCAGGCUGGUGUGCAGUGGCACGAUCUUGGCUCACUGCAGCCUUCACCUCCUGGGUUCAAGCGAUUCUUCUGCCUCAGCCUCCUGAGUAUUUGGACACAGGCCUAUGUAAUUCUGAAGUCUGUGUUAUUUCCAUAAUACCAUGUUAUCUGUCCUGCUACUGUGACCCUUCUAUUCCUUCUAUUCCUUAGGAAGGCUCUUGCCCCUAAAUACUCCAUAGUAUGAAAGGAAAUCUCAAUAAUUAAAAUUUCUUCUGGGUCCAAAAGUAGCCUUUUAUAAAAAAAUAAAAUUUCCUGGGAAACUUAAGUCACUUGCAACUUGCUGUGAAUUAGGGAAAAAUAACCAAUCAGAACAAUAACCAAACAAGCAUAUUAAAUGAAUAUAAGAUUAAGCAAAUGAACAUGUGGGAAAAGUAAAGGAGGUAACAUCAGAAGAAAUGGGCAGGAUGGAUGCACUAAGUGCUUGGGAGCAUGAUUUGUAAGGACUUACUCUCUGAAUCUGGAAAAUUUGCAUUUUUUGUAACAAGUGGCAGAUGUUUUAUUUCUAAAACAGUUAACAAGUGGCUAAGGAAGUUUAAGAGACUGUGGUUUAAUAUGUGUCAGUCCCACAAAAUAAGCAUUGGAAUAUGAAUUGACUUUUGUCCUAGUGGUUUCCCAGUUAUACUUCCCUUGCUCUUUUUUUUUUUCUGAGAUAGAGUCUGGCUCUGUCACCCAGGCUGGAGUCAGUGGCAUGAUCUUGGCCCACUGCAACCUCCACCUCCUGGGUUCAGGUUAUUCUCCUGCUUCAGCCUCCUGAGGAGCUGGGGACUACAGGCACUUGCCACCAUGCCCAGCUAAUUUUUGUAUUUUUAGAAGAGACAAGGUUUAACCAGAUUGGCCAAGCUGGUCUCCAACUCCUGACCUUGUGAUCUGCCCACCUUGACCUCCCAAAAUGCUGAGAUUACAGGCAUAAACCACCAUGCCUGGCCCCUUGCUCUUUCUUAAGUGUCCUCUUUAUUUUCUCUGUCAUUCUUCAGAUGAUUCUUAUCUUUUUUUUUUUUUUUUUUUGAGAAGGAGUCUUGCUCUGUUGCCCAGGCUGGAGUGCAUGCAGUUUCGCGAUCUCUGCCUCCUGGGUUCAAGCAAUUCUCCUGCCUCAGCCUCCCGAGUAGCUGGGAUUACAGGCAUGUGCCACCAUGCCUGGCUAAUUUUUUUUUUUUUUGUAUUUUUAGUAGAGAUGGGGUUUCACCCUAUCAGCCAGACUGGUCUCGAAUUCCUGACCUUGUGAUCUCCCUGCCUUGGCUUCCCAAAGUGCUGGGAUUACAGGCAUGAGCCACCUGCCCAGCCUAUUCUUAUCUUUUAAAAUGUGUAUUGCCAGUGGAGAGGUGGGGUGACUGAAAAAUCUAUUAUAUUUCUCCUUUUCCAACUACUUUUCUGUGUAAGACUAGAUUUUUCAUUUACUUCUACCAAAACAACAUAUAUUGCAACAAAUUAAUCCGGAAGCAAAUAUGGGAAUCUAGUUGUCUUCUAUUAGCACAGAUGCUAAAAAAUGUCAAAAAAUGUGAAACAACACACGUCUUCUCACUAUAUUUAUUUAUUUUGAGAUGAAGUUUCAUUCUUGUUGCCCAGGCUGGAGUACAGUGACGCAAUCUCAGCUCACUGCAACCUCCAUUUUCCAGGUUCAAGCAAUUCUCCUGCCUCAGCCUCCAAAAUAGCUGAGAUCACAGGCAUGCGCUGCCACACCUGGCUAAUUUUGUAUUUUUAGUAGACACAGGGUUUCCCCAUGUUGUUCAAGCUGGUCUUGAACUCCUGACCUCAGGUGAUCGACCUGCCUUGGCCUCACAAAGUGCUGGGAUUAUAGGCGUGAGUCACUGCACCCAGCCGAUGUAUUUAUUUUGUUUUGGAAAAUAUAGUUACUUUUAUUAAAAUAUUUUAUUUACAUGUAAUAAAAUAAUUAUUUUUAAUUUUAGGUAAAUUAAUAUUUUUAAAUAUCCCAGUUUUCUUUUUUUCUUUUCUUUUUUUUUUUUUUUUUUGAGAAGGAGUCUUGCUCUGUCGCCCAGGCUGGAGUGCAAUGGUGUGCUCUUGGCUCACCACAACCUCCACCUCCUGGGCUCAAGCAGUUCACCUGCCUCAGCCUCCCAAGUAGCUGGGAUUACAAAUGUGUACCACCAUGCCCGGCUAAUUUUUGUAUUUUGUGUUUUUAUUUUUUUUUUUAUAGGGGAGGUGGCAAGGCUGGCCUUGGCUUGCUCCCUCCCCUUAAUUUUUGUAUUUUUAAGUAGAGACUAGGUUUCACCAUGUUGGUCAGGCUGGUCUCAAACCUCUGACCUCCUGAUCCGCCCACCUCAGCCUCCCAAAGUGCUGGAAUUACAGGUGUGAGGCACCACGCCCAGCUCCCAGUUUUCAUUUUUAAUGCAGUAAAUGUUGAUAGCUAUGACCCAUAUAAACCAAAGCUCUUUGGAGUCAUCAAUAAUUAUUUAUUUUUAUCAAAUAAUUAUUUGAGUGCAAAGGGGGACUAAGACCAAGUUUGACACCCCUGUUCUAAGGCAAGUAGGAAGCAUGAAUAUUAACACAGUUUUGAUUUUGCCAGAUUUAUUUCUCCCAAGGAUAGGAGAAACACCAUCCUACAUGUGCAGUGGGCCCUAGCCACACAGGAGAGAGAUGUGAUCUGGUUCAUGUCUUCACGGAGCUUGUAAUAAUGGAGCUGGAACUGCUGAUGUAGUCUCUAAGUGCUGGUUUCAUGAAUAAACACCUCCUUUAUUUGUUUCUGCUAGGCUCCAAAGGAACCCUCCAUAGGCAUGAUUAUACCAGUAUUGGCUAUGUAAUUUUCCCAGGGCCUGGAUCAUAGGAGGUAUUUAAAGAGCCAGAGAUUAAUUUGCUAGACAGGACUAUUUGGUAUGAAAUCAGGUGGGUGCAGUUAUUUAUUCAGCGUAUUUAUUGAGUGCCUGCUGUGCACUAGGCUCUGUACACUAAGCACUGGAACUACAGUAAUAUGCUAGGCAAGUGUGCUUCCUGUCUAAUGGAGUUAGACUUGCUUGUGUUUUUUUCCAGCAGAUUCUUUUUAUCUUCCUUUAGAGUUGAGGACCUGUGCACUGCCUAACUGGAUUGGUAAUGGAGUGACUGCCCCAUGAAUUCUUGUGGUUGAAAUAGUAUCAUUUCUCAAAGAAAACCAAGAAGAGAAGUUGUGCUACCAGGGAAUCCUCUGUCUUCACCCUAACAUUUUCUUCUUCCUUCUUUUGGCUGUAUUUUGGGCAGUCUACAUAAGUUAAGGUUAUUAUUUGAAAACAACCAUCAAGGUCAACUGAGUUAACUGAGAUAGAGAGAAACUCAGCACCGGAAGGUCUGGCAUUCAUGUCUUGUGUGUAGGCAGUGGUAUUAGUCAUAAAUGCUAUCCUCCCUGUGCCAGAGGCUUAUGCAUGUUCUCCUAUUUAAUCUUCAGAGUACCACCAAUCAGGUAAUUGGUGAUAUCAUCUUCUGAUGAUGAAGAAAUAAAAACAUAGUAAAGUAUGUGUACAGGGUGGCUGACUUUCUGGUGAGCCUACUGGCAACCCACCCACUACUUCCUGAGACUAUCUUCUCAGAACCUUCCAUGACUUGCCCUAUGUGUCUUGUGUAUAAUGUUCAUGGUGUCGAUAUCAUGAUAGGUGUUCCUAGAUUGAAUGGUGUCUGUCACACAUGCAUGUGAUGAUGUGUCUGGUGACAGAGGUUGGACAAUCUGCCACCAUGCCAGCUACACCUUGGCUAUCCCUGUGGAUGAGCUGCCACUCACAGAGCCUGUUGAUCUACGAAGACCUUGUAUCUAUACUUUGGGUGUCUUCCUAAGUAGCUUUGAUCUAAGCAACAGACAACAUCAAUGCAAUCAUCUAAAUUUGGUGGCUGCUGCCAUUCUAUAGCCCUCAAUUUGGAAAACAGACAUAAGAUUUCAGCAGUUUGCCAAAAGUGUGUAUCUGGAUGCCAUAUGUCACUAGCUUGGGGGUUCUGAUGUGUAUUAUUUGUGUCUCCUGGCUGCUGAUAGAGGACAUGGCUUUAAUGCCUUCAGCAAGAGGGAGAGGCACUAAUAUUUGAGUUUCUUUUUAUGACAGUUUCUUAUCUCUCUCUUACUUGAUCCUCACAACAGCUUUGUGUGGUUGUUGGAAUUAAUUCUGUUGUUGUGAGGAAGCAAAUGAUUAGCAUUUGAAUACGUUGCUCAGUGUUGCUGUGUCAAGCCCAGGCCUGUCUGCUUCCCCAGUUACCUAUUCAGGGAUUGCUUUCCUUAAAUAAAACUGCCUCACAAGCAGAGGUACCCUAGCUACCUCAGCUCUCACCACUUUAGUAUUAAUGCUUACACAUUCAGCAGAUUGUUUUAGGCACCUAUUUAUAUGCCAAGCACUGGCAGGGGAGAAAAGUUGAAUAAGACACAAACUCGUUCUUUUUUUCUAUUUGUUAUUUUAUUUUUUUUGAGACAAAGUCUCGCUCUUGUCCCCCAGGCUGGAGUGCAGUGGUGCAAUCUCGGCUCACUGCAACCUCCACCUCCUGGGUUCAAGCGAUUCUCAUGCCUUAGCCUCCUGAGUAGCUGGGAUUAUAGGCUCCCACCACCAGGCCUGACUAAUUUUUUUGUUUUUGUUUUUUUUUUUUGAGACGGAGUUUCGCUGUUGUUACCCAGACUGGCGUGCAAUGGCACAGUCUCGGCUCACUGCAACCUCCGCCUUCUGGGUUCAAGCAAUUCUCCUGCCUCAGCCUCCUGAGUAGCUGGGACUACAGGUGCGCACCACCAUGCCCAGCUAAUUUUUGUAUUUUUAGUAGAGACGUGGUUUCACCUCAUUGACCAGGAUGGUCUCAAUCUCUUGACCUCGUGAUCCACCCGCCUCGGCCUCCCAAAGUGCUGGGAUUAUAGGCGUGAGUCACCGCGCCCGGCCUUUUUUUUUUGUAUUUUUAGUAGAAAUGAGGUUUUGCCAUGUUGGUCAGGCUGGUCUCAAACUCCUGACAUCAGGUAAUCCGCCCACCUCGGGCUCCCAAAGUGCUAGAAUUACAGGCGUGAGCCACCUCGUCCAGCCUGGCACAACCUCAUUCUUUAAGAUCAUUUUGUUUGCCUCUGCCCCGCUUCCAAUUUCAGUGUAAUCUGGUAUUUCUAAAGGCUGUGGGAUCACCGAGUAGUGGCUGGAUAGGUAUUUUCCAGGUGGGUACCCGAUACAAAGGUAGUGGGUAAGACAUUUAAGGCUGUAAAUGAAAACAACUUAGGAAACAUCAUGGCAUGUUUAUUUAGAGCAAAGCUUAUAAGGCCUGGGGCAGAGAACGCUGAGAUUAAGAGUUGAAAAGUGAGGAGGCUUUCUCCCAUAGAGAGUAAGGAGAUGUGAGGUUGUUCUGUUUAUUUUAUUAAUGAGGCUCAAAAUAUUCUUUAGCAUUUUUGGUUUUGUCUACAAAAAUGUUUAUUUUUUAAAAAUUUGGAGGCUAGGCCAGGCACGGUGGCUCACGCCUAUAAUCCCAGCACUUUGGGAGGCUGAGGCGGGUGGAUCACGAGGUCAAGAGAUCAAGACCAUCCUGGUCAACAAGGUGAAACCCCAUCUCUACUAAAAAUACAAAAAUUAGCUGGGCAUGGUGGUGCGCGCCUGUAGUCCCAGCUACUCAGGAGGCUGAGGCAGGAGAAUUGCUUGAACCCAGAAGGCGGAGGUUGCAGUGAGCCGAGAUCAUGCCAUUGCACUCCAGUCUGGGUAACAACAGUGAAACCCCGUCUCAAAAAAAAAAAAAUUUGGAGGGUAGAGUAUAAUAAAAUACAAAAAAAAAUCACAUAUAAUCGCAUCCAAAGAUAGCUACUAUUAAUAUUUUACAUCUUUUUUGUAAACUGUGUUCUGUUUUAUAAUUUAAUAUUUUACGUGUUAUACAAGUGCUUAGUAAUUUUCUCAAUGACUACAAAAUAGUCCAUGUAUUUACUUAGUCAUUCUACUAUACUUGGGCAAAUAGUCUGUUGCCAGCUUUUUGUUAUUGUGGAAUAAUAGGUUAGAAAUAUUUUUCUUUGUACAUGAAGUUUUUGCUGUAUUUAGAAUUAUUUUCUUAGGAUACAUUACUGGAAUGGAUUCAUGGGUCAGAGUAGGAACAAUGCUAAGGUUCUAGAGCCCUUUAAAUGGUGUGUACUAAUCAAUAACUUCAUAAGCUCAAAGAGUUCCCUAUACUUAGUGAGUAGUAAGAAAUAAUCAUAGGUUUUUGGCUGGGCAUGGUGGCUCAUGCCUCUACUCCCAGCACUUUGGGAGGCCAAGGCGUGUAGAUUCCAAGGUCAGGAGUUCAAGACCAGCCUGGCCAAGACAGUGAAAUCCUGUCUCUACUAAAAAAAUAUAUUUAAAAAAAAAAAAGGCUGUGUAUGGUGGCUCACACCUGUAAUCCCAGCACUUUGGGAGUAGAUCACCUGAGGUCAGGGUUUUGAGACCAGUCUGGCUAACACGGUGAAACCCCAUUUCUACUAAAAAUAUAAAAAAUUAGCCGGGCAUGGUGGCGUGUGCCUGUAAUCCCAGCUACUUGGGAGGCUGAGGCAGGAGAAUCGCUUCAACCUAGGAGGCAGAGGUUGAAGUGACCUGAGAUUGUGCCAUUGCACUCCAGCCUGGGCUACAAGAAAGAAACUCCGUCUCAAAAAAAAAAAAAAAAAAAAAAUUAGCCUACCAUGUUGCCCAGGCUAGUUAGUCUUGAAUUCCUGAGCUCAAGCAAUCCUCCCACCUUGGCUUCCCAAAGUGUUAGAGUUAUAUAUUUGCACCACCAUACCUGGCCUUCUCUCCCAAUUCUGCUUCUCUUGCUAUUUCCACCAUAUCUGCAGUUACUUCCUCUAUUAAAGUCUUGAACUCAUCAAAGUCACUCAUGAGGGUUGGAAUCACCUUCUUCCAAAGUCCUGUUAAUGUUGAUAUGUUGAUUUCUUCCCAUGAAUCCGGAAUGUUCUGAAUGGCAUCUAGAUUGGUGAAUUCUUUCCAGAAGGUUUUCAACUUACUUUGGCCAGAUCCAUCAGAGGAAUCACUGUCUAUGACAGCUAUAUCCUUAUAAAACACAUUUCUUAAAUAAUAAGACUUGAAAGUCAAAAUUACCUCUUUAUGCCUGGGCUGCAGAAUGGAUAUUAUGUUAGUAGGCAUGAAAACAACAUCCAUCUCCUUCUACAUCUCCAUCAGACCUCUUGGGUGACCACAUACACUGUCAAUGAGCAGUAAUAUUUUCAAAGCAGUGUUUUUUUCUGAGCAACAGGUCUCAACAGUGGGCUUACAAGAAACCAUGUUUUAAACAGAUAUGCUGUCAUUCAGGCUUCGUUGUUCCAUUUCUAGAUAUAGGCAGAGUAGAUUUAUCAUGAUUCUUAAGGGCCCUAGGCUUUUCAUUGUAUGCUCAUUUGUCUCAUGUUUAAAUCAUAAAUAUAGAAACACCUUAAUAUGGCCACUAUUUGAUGGUAGUGAGACGGAAAAUACUUUGCCAUUUUGGCCUAAUAUAUGUUUUCUCUCCAAGAAAGAGGAAAGCCACUUAAAGGUCAACAUUCAAUCCUGUAAAGGAGAAUAGGAGGUAAUCUAGACUCCUUUAUAGCAAUACAGGCUCAGGGUAUUCCUGAGAUUACUGAAAGAUUAAACAGUCCUGGCUCGGUGGCCUAUAAUCCCAGCACUUUGGGAAGCUGAGCUGGGUAGGUCAACUGAGGUCAGGAGUUUGAGACCAGCCUGGCCAACAUGGUGAAACCUUGUUUCUACUAAAAAUACAAAAAAAUCAACCCGGUAUAGUGGUACGUGCCUGUAAUCUCCGCUACUGAGGAGGCUGGGGCAGGAGAAUCGCUUGAACCUGGGAGCUGGAGGUUGCAGUGAGCCGAGAUCAUGCCCGUACACUCAAGCCUGGGCAACAGAGUGAGAGACAGGAAGGAAGGGAGGAAGGGAGGAAGGGAGGGAAGGAGACAAGAAGAGAGGGAAGGAGGGAAGGAAGGAAUGUAUUUGAAUUCACUUUAAGAAAGAUUAAAUAAGCAUUUAGAGGGUGUUUGGAUUCACUUUAAGAAAGAUUAAAUAAGCAAUUAGGGCCGUGCUGGGCGCGGUGACUCACGCCUGUAAUCCCAGCACUUUGGGAGACCAAGGCGUUCCUGGCCAGCAUGGUCAAACCCCAUCUCUACUAGAAAUACAAAAAAGUAGCUGGGCAUGGUGGCUGGUGCCUGUAAUCCCAGACUCGGGAGUCUGAGGCAGGAGAAUUGCUUGAACUCGGGAGCCAGAGGUUGCAGUGAGCCGAGAUCGCGCCAUUGUACCCCAGCCUGGGUGACAAGAGCGAGACUCCGUCUCAAAAAAAAAAAAAAAGAAUUUAAAAUUUGUAGAUACUUUUUCUGUCUCCGGCCACUGCUGCAAGAGGAGUGGCCGCCAUGUCUGCGCAUCUGCAGCGGAUGGUCGUGCGGAACUGCUACAGUUUCCUGAUCAAGAGGAAUAAGCCGACCUACAGUACUGAGCCCAAUAACUUGAAGGCCCGCAACUCCUUCCGCUACAUCGGGCUGUUUGACUGCAAGACUGUGGGCAUGGAGCCGCAGCCAAUGGCAGAGGUGUCGUGGUGGUCAUGAAGCGGAGAUCCAUCCAGCGGAAGCCUACCACUUCCUAGGUGCGGACUGGACCACCAUCAAUAAGAACGCUCUCACCACUCUCAGCAGCAGCAUCAGACACAUGAUCCACAACAACGAGCACCGCCCCAAACCUGCGCAUGACAGCCAUCCGCAGAACCAGCGCCAUCCUGUGCAGCCGGAAGCCUAUGAUCAUGAAGAGGAAGUGGACCCGCCCCAGCAAGAGCUCCUGAGACCCCUGCCCCCAAAGCAACAGUCAGCUGGCUUUCUAUUUUUUUUUGAAGACGGGGUUUCGCCAUGUUGGUCAGGCUGCUCUUGAACUCCCGACCUCAGGUGAUCUGCCCGCCUUGGCCUCCAAACUGCUUGGAUUACAGGUGUGAGCCACUACGACCGGCCAGUCAGCUGGCUUUCUAAAAAAAACAAAAACAAAAAAAAACAUACAAACACCAAAAUAAUAAUACUCUGUAGAUAAAGGAAUUCAGUUAUAUAUUGGUGGAUAAUUAUAAGGUUCUCAUCUGUCUUUGGGGUGGAGAAAUUGGUCUUAAUGCCUUUUUUUUUUAAAGAUGGAAUUCCGCUCUUGUUGCCCAGGCUGGAGUACAAUGGUGUGAUCUUGGCUCAUUGCAACCUCCACCUCCCAGGUUCCAGCUAUUCUCAUGCCUCAGCCUCCCAAGUAGCUGGGACUACAGGCAUAUGCCACUAUGUCUGGCUAAUGUUUUGUAUUUUUAGUAAAGAUGGAGUUUCACCAUGUUAUCCAGGAUGGUCUCCAUCUCCUGACCUCGUGAUCUGCCUGCCUCAGCCUCCCACAGUACUGGGAUUGCAGGCGUGAGCCACCGCGCCCGGCCACAGGCACUAGUGUUUAAAGAAGUUUCUCAUGUUUGUUUCACUCCUUUUAGCAAGUUGUUUUAAAAAAAUUAUGUUUUUCUUCUUCUGACAGGGAAAGACAGGCUCUGAGUAAUGAGAAUGUACGCAGCAUUGUGGAAAAUGGCAUGCUUAGCCAUAGACAGCUAAUUACAAGAAAAAUUAAUGUGUUACUCCUUGAGUUAGGAUCAGUGUCUACCGUAAUGCAUUGUUGACAGUUACUGGGAAUGACCAACUUGUAAAAGGGGAAAAUCCAAACUUCUGACCACACUGAGGUCAUCAUGGAUUUAUUUAUACCAUGCAUGAGGACAUAAUGAUUAGAAUAACUGAAGUAUUGAGUCCUUCACAUCCUUUACAUCUAUUUAUUCAUCUAAUUCUCCACAGUCACCACCUGAGGUGUAGCUACUGUGUUUAUCACCAUUUUAUAGGUGAGUAAACAAAGGCACAGAGAGGUAACAGAACUUGCCUAAGGGCACACAGCUUGCCAGCAGAAAAGCCAGGUUAUGUGACUUCAGUGCAGGCUCUUGUAACUAUCAAGUUAUACUGCUUGUUAAUAGAAAGCUAGAUGAUGCUACAGGAUUAGCUCAGAGAUUUACAAGAGGAGACCUGGGCACAUUUGAAGGCAGAAUGGCUUGAAUGGUCCUGAAUACAAGAUAGGAAGAAGAUGUUGAAGAAAGGUGGGGUCCCCUAAGACCACUUGGAAUUGGGAUAGUUUAUAGGUUGUAGUGCUCUGGUAAAGGUGAGCUUUAGCAGCGGGAGAACAAUCCUUAUUCUUCUGAGGUUGCAGUGAAGUCUAAGUAUAGAAAACUGCUGUGAAGAGAAGACAGAGAAGUACCUGAUGGUGUGUACCCUUUGGGCAGUGUGCUGGAGCUGGCUCGUACCAGCUCAAGAGAGCCCUUGUUAAACAUUAAGGAAUUUUUGGAAUAUGUUGGUAGCUUGAAAUUAGCCAAAGUGGGAGUAUUUCAACUCCAGAAAUUAGCAAAUACUACAAAUUCGGGCCUCCCCACCACCACCCAGAACUGGUUUAUCAGAACACCUUACACUCCCUUUCUUCUAUUUUCCACUUCACUAAUAGUCAAAAGCCUGCUCAAGUGCCAGCUGAAUUCAAAUCCUGAGUGAGUGCCCAUUAUGGGAAAGGCACUGUGCCAGAUACCAGAGUAACAAAGACCAACCCCUCAGUAAAUAAUACUGUGGUGGAGAGAGAAGAGCUGUCAGCUCUUGGGCCAGUCACUUAACCUUGGGUUACUCAUCUGUAAAUGGAGAUAAUACAUGUCCCAAAGGGUUAUUGAGAUGACUAAUGAGAACAUGUAAAGCUCCUGGCACAGAGGUGCUCAAUAAGUGAUGGUUCUAAGAGUGGCAGACAUGUAAACUGAUGUCUUUCAUAUAGUUUGAUAUGAGAAAUAAAGAUGGGAGUUGGGCACAGUAGCUCAUGCCUGUAAUCUCAGCACUUUGGGAGGCUGAGGUGAGAGGAUUGCUUGAGCCCAGGAGUUCAAUACCAGCCUAGGCAACAUAGUGAGACCCUGUUUCUACAAGAAAUUUUAAAAAAUUAGCCAGGGAUGGUCGUGUGUGCCUCUGGUCCCAGCUACUUGGGAAGCUGAGGCAGGUGAAUCACUUGAGCCCAGGAGUUGGAGGCUGCGGUGAGCUAUGAUUGUGCCACUUGGAGAGCAAGACUCCAUCUCCAAGAAACAAACAAAUAAACAAAAGAAAUAAAGACAGAAUGACUAGAGGUCAUAGUCCCCUGAGUACAUUCCAAAGUUUUCAGGAUGGAUGUUUCAUGAAUGAUUUUUUUUCCUUGGUCAUUAUCAGAAGGUGGUUUUUUUUUUUUUUUGUGCCUACAAAUCAGGUUUACCAGAUUUACCUUUUGCUUUUACCUCUUUUUAGCCUGUUCCUCACUAUAUGUUAUUUAAUUAUAAGACAAACAAUGGAUUUUGGAGGUAGGCACACCUGGAUUUAUAUCCCAGCUCCAACACUUACCUGCUUUAUGACCUUUGGCAAGAUUUGUUACUUCCUAGAAUCUCAGUUUCUAAUUUCAUAUAUAGGUAUAAUAACUGAAUCCAACCUGUCUUUUAGAUUCAUCUCCCUUUAUGCUUCUGCAUCUCCAUGCAAAAGACACUGUUCCUUUUCUACUGCUGUGUCUUUGUAUAUAUUGCUCCAUCUGCCUAGAGAAGUUCUGCUCUAGAGGUAGAAUAGCGCUGUGGUAAGAUCCAUGGCCUACAUGUCAGUCUCAGCUUUGACAUCUAAACUAGAUGUCCAUAAGCAAGAUAAUUGUCCUCUUUAUACCUCAGUUUUUAGUAUUUGUAAAAUGGAAAUAAUAUCUCCCUCAUUGGGUUGUUGUGAUGAUUAAUCCUGUAAGAGCUAGAUUUAUGUCAGGCAUAUAGGAGGCACUGAAAAAUUUUAGGCAUUACUUCCACUUCCAUUACUGCUGCCUUCAUUAUCCUCAAGCUGUGGUUUAAAAAUCACUUGCUUUAUGAAGCCUUCCCCAUUUUGUCCAUACCAUUAUUUACUUCUCUUCUCUGUACCCAUUGAAGCUUAUGAACCACCACAUUUGGAGCACCUACUACGUCUCAGCACCCUCCUGGGCAUAGUACAGAUGUUGUUUUAUUCAAACUACCCAAUAUGUUCUCACUUAUUAUCCCAGCUUCCUUCUGGGAUAGAUCAAAAAAAAAUUUUUUUUUAAGAUGGCGUCUCACUCUGUUGUCCAGGCUGGAGUACAGUGGUGCAAUCUUGGCUCACUGUAACCUCAGCCUCCUGGGUUCAAGGAAUUUGCAUGACUCAGUCUCCCAAGUAGCUGGGAUUAUAGGUGCUCACCACCAUACCCAGCUAAUUUUUUUGUAUGUUAGUAGAGAUGGGAUUUCACUAUGUUGGCCAGGCUGGUCUUGGACUCCUGACCUCAAGUGAUCCGCCUGCCUUGGCCUCCCUAAGUGCUGGGAUUACAGGUGUGAACCAUCAUGCCUGGCCAAUAGAUCAAAUUCUUAAAGGCCAAAUUACCUUUAUAAAACUGAGGACCCCCUAACAUUUACCAUAUAAAAGCUUUUAUUCUUUUCUCUGUGAAAAAAGAUGGAACAAAAUAACUGAAUAAUUUGUUAUAACUAAGUAAUAUCUGCAUUUUUACAGAUUUAAUCUCUCAACAAGUAUUUAUCGAGUGAUUACUAUGUGUGCACACUAUAUUAAGUGCUGGGAACAUGAUGGUCCCUGCUCACAUGUGGCUAUGUACAUAUAUAUUAAUUAAACUUAAAUAACAUAAGAACUUCACAUCCACACCUGUACUAGCCAUCUUUUAUGUACUUAAUAGUCACAUGUAGUUAGUGGCUAUUGGAUUGGACAAUGUAGAUUUAGAACAUUUUCAUCCCCACAGAAAGUCCUCUUGGACUGUGCUAUUCUAGAGUGGGGGAGGUAGACAUUGAUCAAAUUCUCAUAAAAGUAUGAUUGUAAUUGUGAUAAGUACUAGGCAGGAAGAAUACAUGGUAACAUGGGAACAUUUCAGAGGGGGAUUUGACUUCUCUGUUGGUUUUCCCAAGGAAAACCUGUUCAGACUAGAUUUGCUGAAUGCUUGGAAGUUAGCAAAGCCCUGUGGUAGGAGGGAGCACAGUAAUUACAGGGGCUGAAGCAGCUAAUGAGUGGAUUGUGGGGAUUAAGGGGAGGUUUGGGUGAGAUGAAGAGGUGGAAGGACCACAAAGGGCCUUGUACAAAGAAGAUGAAGAAGCAGAGAGACUGAGUAACUUGGCUGUGUAGUUAGUAAUAGAACCUGGAUUUGACUUCAAAGUCUACGCUGCAUAGUAAGUGUGUAUUCAAUGGACUUUGGUUCUGCAAUGAUCUCUUUUGCUCCUUUCCUCUUUGGAAAUUGCCAACGUUCCCUCUAAUGGAUUAUUCCUUUAGCAUAAAAACAUGCUAUAAUACUUUCCUUCUUAGAUAAAUGAAAAUAACCAAAAAAAUCUUCCUCUAUCCUACAUCUCUCUUUAGCUCCUUUCUAUUUUUUUGUUUUUAUAGCAAAACCCCUUUAAGAGUUGGCUAUACUUACUACCUCAAUUUUCUUAUUUUCUGUUUCUUGCUGAACUUCUUCUAAUUAGGAUUUCUUACCUCCCAUGAUUUUCGUAAAUGACCUCCAUGACUCAGCCCUUACCUUACAGGAUUUCUUGGCAGCACUUGAUAUAGUUGAUCUUCCUUUUUGGAGCACUUCUUCUUUGGCUUCUGAGAUACCACACAGUCUUGGUUUUUCUCAUACCUCCCUCCAGCUCCUUCUUAGGCUCCAGUGCAGGAUCCUUCUCCCCUUUUGCAGUUUGAGUGUGCCAGGGCUCUGUCCUGGGCCAUCUUUAUUUCUCUAAAUACAAUAACUCCUGGGUCAUUUCAUCUAGGCCCAUGGAGUGACAGUUAAUUUUAUGUGUCAAGUUGGCUAGUAUACGGUGCCCAGUUGUUUGGUUGGAUAAGAGUGUAGAUGUUGCUGCGAAGGUAUUUUUUAGAUGUGACUUACAAUGACAUCAGUAGGCUUUGAGUAAAGCUAGUGACCCUCCAUAAUGUGGAUGGGCUUCAUUCAAUUAGUCGAAGGCCUUAGAGAAAAGAUGGAGGUUUCCCAAAGAAGAAGCAAUUCUGCACCCAGACUGCCUUUAGUCUCAAGAUUGCUACAUCAACUCCUGAUUGAAUUUCCAGCCUAUGGGCCAGCCUUAGAGUUUUCAGAAUUAUCAUCCCUCACAACAGUGUGAGUCAAUUCUUCAAAAAAAACUGUCUCUACAGGUGUUGGGAAAACUGGCUAGCUAUGUGCAGAAAGCAGAAACUGGACCCCUUCCUGACACCUUACCCUAAAAUUAACUCCAGAUGGAUUAAAGACUUAAACAUAAGACCUAACACUAUAAAAACCCUAGAAGAAAAUCUAGGCAAAACCAUUCAGGACAUAGGAGUAGGCAAGGACUUCAUGACCAAAACACCAAAAGCAUUGGCAACAAAAGCCAAAAUAGACAAAUGGGACCUAAUCAAACUCCACAGCUUCUGCACGGCAAAAGAAACAGUCAUUAGAGUGAAUCAGCAACCAACAGAAUGGGAAAAAAUUUUUGCAGUUUACCCAUCUGACAAAGGGCUGAUAUCCAGAAUUUACAAAGAACUAAAACAGAUUUACAAGAAAAAAACAAACAAGCCCAUUCAAAAGUGGGCAAAGGAUAUGAACAGACAUUUUACAAAAGAAGGCAUACAUGAGGCCAACAAACAUGAAAAAAUGCUCAUCAUCACUGGUCGUUAGAGAAAUGCAAAUCAAAACUACAUUGAGAUACUAUCUCACGCCAGUUAGAAUGGCGAUCAUUAAAAAAUCUGGAGACACAUGCUGGAGAAGCUGUGGAGAAAUAGAAACACUUUUACACUGCUAGUGGGAGUGUAAAUUAGUUCAACCAUUGUGGAAGACAGUAUGGCGAUUCCUCAAGGACCUAGAAAUAGAAAUUCCAUUUGACCCAGCAAUCCAUUACUGGGUAUAUAUCCAAAGGACUAUAAAUCGUUCUACUAUAAGGACACAUGCACAUGAAUGUUCAUUGCAGCACUGUUUACAAUAGCAAAGACCUGGAAUCAACCCAAAUGCCCAUUGAUGAUAGACUGGACGGGGAAAAUGUGGCACAUAUACAUCAUGGAAUAUCAUGCAGCAAUCAAAAACGAUGAGUUUGUGUCCUUUGUAGGGACAUGGAUGAACCUGAAGAACAUCAUUCUCAGCAAACUGACACAGGAACAGAAAAUGAAAUACUGCAUGUUCUCACUCAUAGGCAGGUGUUGAACAAUGAGAACACAUGGACACAGGGAGGGGAGCACUACACACUGGAGUCUG